GACGAACGCUGGCGGCGUGCCUAAUACAUGCAAGUUGAGCGCUGAAGGUUGGUACUUGUACCAACUGGAUGAGCAGCGAACGGGUGAGUAACGCGUGGGGAAUCUGCCUUUGAGCGGGGGACAACAUUUGGAAACGAAUGCUAAUACCGCAUAAAAACUUUAAACACAAGUUUUAAGUUUGAAAGAUGCAAUUGCAUCACACAAAGAUGAUCCCGCGUUGUAUUAGCUAGUUGGUGAGGUAAAGGCUCACCAAGGCGAUGAUACAUAGCCGACCUGAGAGGGUGAUCGGCCACAUUGGGACUGAGACACGGCCCAAACUCCUACGGGAGGCAGCAGUGGGGAAUCUUCGGCAAUGGACGAAAGUCUGACCGAGCAACGCCGCGUGAGUGAAGAAGGUUUUCGGAUCGUAAAACUCUGUUGGUAGAGAAGAACGUUGGUGAGAGUGGAAAGCUCAUCAAGUGACGGUAACUACCCAGAAAGGGACGGCUAACUACGUG
rnacentral:rRNA from 1 species